AUUGAACGCUGGCGGCAGGCUUAACACACGCAAGUCGAGCGGGGGAGGUUGCUUCGGUAACUGACCUAGCGGCGGACGGGUGAGUAAUGCUUAGGAAUCUGCCUAUUAGUGGGGGACAACAUUCCGAAAGGGAUGCUAAUACCGCAUACGCCCUACGGGGGAAAGCAGGGGAUCUUCGGACCUUGCGCUAAUAGAUGAGCCUAAGUCGGAUUAGCUAGUUGGUGGGGUAAAGGCCUACCAAGGCGGAGAUCUGUAGCGGGUCUGAGAGGAUGGUCCGCUACACUGGGACUGAGACACGGCCCAGACUCCUACGGGAGGCAGCAGUAAGGAAUCUUCCACAAUGGACGAAAGUCUGAUGGAGCAACGCCGCGUGCAGGAUUAAGGCCUUCGGGUUGUAAAGCACUUUAGGUUGGGAAGAAGGUGUGAAGUUUAAGAGACAUCAUAUUUGACGGUACCGACAGAAUAAGCACCGGCUAACUCUGUGCCAGCCGCCGCGGUAAGAC
rnacentral:rRNA from 1 species